ACCUGGCUUGCUCAGUUGGAAGAGCAAGUGACUUUUGAUCUCGAGGUCGUGAGUUUGAGCCCCAUGUUGGGUG
rnacentral:tRNA from 1 species